ACAAUAUAGAUAAUCGCCAUGAACCAGUGCAAGCACGGUACAUGGAGGAAAGUCCGGACACCAUAAUAAGGGUGGUUGGUAACGCCAACCGUCCCAACCUUUUUCAUAAAAAGUGUUGGGGUAGGGAAAGUGCCACAGAGACUAUACUAUCUAGCUUUUUUAAGCUAGAUAAACGUGAAAAGUUGAUAGAUGUUUCUUUUUGAAGCUACUAUCUUCUCUCCUGCGUGAGCAGGAUGAGUGGCAAACCCCACCUGGUGAAAGACCAAAUAGGUAGGUCGUUUGACUCCGUUAGCAAUAGCGGGGCUAGAUAAAUGAUUAUCAUCUAGUUUUAGGUACUAGUGCCCGUAGUGCUUCUAGGUUAGAGCCUAGCUUAAAUGUUUAGAAGCGCUAAGUACUUGAAAAACGUAGGUUACAGAAUCCGGCUUAUUUAUUGUUUAU
rnacentral:RNase_P_RNA from 1 species